rnacentral:rRNA from 1 species
AUUGAACGCUGGCGGCAGGCCUAACACAUGCAAGUCGAACGAGUGGCGGGCGGGUGAGGAAUACAUAGGAAUCUUCUCAGCUGUGGGGGAUAACGGGGAGAAACUUAUGCUAAUACCGCUUACGAUUGAAUGAGCUGAAGUCGGAUUAGCUAGUUGGCGGGGUAACGGCCCACCAAGGCGACGAUCCGUAGCUGGUCUGAGAGGAUGAUCAGCCACACUGGAACGGAGACACGGUCCAGGCUCCUACGGGAGGCAGCAGUGGGGAAUAUUGGAGAAGGGGCGCAAGCCUGAUGCAGCCAUACCGCGAGGGUGAAGAAGGUCUUCGGAUUGUAAAGCACGUUAAGUUGGGAGGCGUUACCAACAGAAGAAGCACCGGCUAACUUCGUGCCAGCAGCCGCGGUAAUUC